GAGAAGUAGGACCAUAGGACAUGGGAUCAGGAACAUGUGACACUGGAACACAUGAGGAUGUCGCACAGAUUGGUUCACUGACUCAUCUCAAUUUAAAAUGGAGCAAAUGGCUGCUUUCCUUCCACCCUGUUAGAAAGGAAUUAGCAAUUUUGUACACAUUAAAAUGAUUUAUGAAGCAUGAUCAAAUGCAUUUGGUAGGAAAGUAAUGAUGUGAUCUCAUCAAAGAUUGGCAAGACUCUUGCUUGGUUGUUUUCUGCUCAUUUGCUGGACAGGCUGCAGUUUGAUCUGAAUCUUCAACUUCAUCUCACUUUGUGGCUGAGCGAGUGUCAAACUGCAAAAAGAUGAAGCCUCAAGGAAAUUUACAAUUGUCUUUUGUAGCAGAAACAUAUUGUGUUAAAAGACAGUUAGAUAUGACAGCCCUUCAGAUCUGGGUCACACAAAGCACUUUCUCCAGGGAAGAGGAUUACUGGUGAUGAGAUAUUAGCUGUUGUGAAACAGUUCAUUUCUCCUGCAAACACACUAAGAAUAUAUUGCUGAGUGGCGAAUGAUAUGAAGUAAAAAGCAGGAGAGUAUAUAAAUAUCUAGAAGAUACUGAUCUUCCUGCUUCCCAGAUAAAUACUUUAUAGGAAGAGAGAGGUUCUAAAAUUUGAGUAAAAAGAUGGUCGUGUAGUUAAGAUGCAGAAUCCUGCCACAGACUUCCUAUGUGACUUGGGGCAAGUCACUUCACUGCUCCGUGCCUCAGUUUCCCCAUCUGUGAAGUAGAUAUGACAAAUCCAGUAGAUGCUCACAUACCAUGGUGACAGGUGACUA